CUGGUUGAUUCUGCCAGUAGUCAUAUGCUUGUCUCAAAGAUUAAGCCAUGCAUGUCUAAGUAUAAGCAAUUAUACCGUGAAACUGCGAAUGGCUCAUUAAAUCAGUUAUCGUUUAUUUGAUAAUACCUUACUACUUGGAUAACCGUGGUAAUUCUAGAGCUAAUACAUGCUGAAAAUCCCGACUUCGGAAGGGAUGUGUUUAUUAGAUAAAAAACCAAUGCCCUUCGGGGCUUUUUGGUGAUUCAUGAUAACUUUACGGAUCGCAUAGCCUUGCGCUGGCGACGGUUCAUUCAAAUUUCUGCCCUAUCAACUUUCGAUGGUAAGGUAUUGGCUUACCAUGGUUUCAACGGGUAACGGGGAAUUAGGGUUCGAUUCCGGAGAGGGAGCCUGAGAAACGGCUACCACAUCCAAGGAAGGCAGCAGGCGCGCAAAUUACCCAAUCCCGACACGGGGAGGUAGUGACAAUAAAUACUGAUACAGGGCUCUUUUGGGUCUUGUAAUUGGAAUGAGUACAAUUUAAACCUCUUAACGAGGAACAAUUGGAGGGCAAGUCUGGUGCCAGCAGCCGCGGUAAUUCCAGCUCCAAUAGCGUAUAUUAAAGUUGUUGCAGUUAAAAAGCUCGUAGUUGAAACUUGGGUCUGGCUGGCGGGUCCGCCUCACCGCGUGCACUCGUCCGGCCGGGCCUUCCUUCUGAAGAACCUCAUGCCCUUUACUGGGCGUGUUGGGGAAUCAGGACUUUUACUUUGAAAAAAUUAGAGUGUUCAAAGCAGGCCUUUGCUCGAAUACGUUAGCAUGGAAUAAUAAAAUAGGGCGUGCGUUUCUAUUUUGUUGGUUUCUAGAGACGCCGCAAUGAUUAACAGGAACAGUCGGGGGCAUCAGUAUUCAGUUGUCAGAGGUGAAAUUCUUGGAUUUACUGAAGACUAACUACUGCGAAAGCAUUUGCCAAGGAUGUUUUCAUUAAUCAGUGAACGAAAGUUAGGGGAUCGAAGACGAUCAGAUACCGUCGUAGUCUUAACCGUAAACUAUGCCGACUAGGGAUCGGGCGAUGUUCUUUUUCUGACUCGCUCGGCACCUUACGAGAAAUCAAAGUUUUUGGGUUCUG
rnacentral:ncRNA from 1 species